AUUGAACGCUGGCGGCAGGCCUAACACAUGCAAGUCGAGCGCGCGGCGGACGGGUGUGUAAUGUCUGGGACACUGCCUGAUGGCGGGGGAUAACUCCUGGAAACGGUAGCUAAUACCGCAUACCAUCAGCUGUGCCCAGAUGGCAUUAGCUAGUAGGUAGGGUAAUGGCUCACCUAGGCGACGAUCCCUAGCUGGUCUGAGAGGAUGACCAGCCACACUGGAACUGAGACACGGUCCAGACUCCUACGGGAGGCAGCAGUGGGGAAUAUUGCGCAAUGGGCGCAAGCCUGAUGCAGCAAUGCCGCGUGUAUGAAGAAGGCCUUCGGGUUGUAAAGUACUUUCAGCGGGGAGGCGGUACCCGCAGAGAAAGCACCGGCUAACUCCGUGCCAGCAGCCGCGGUAAUUC
rnacentral:rRNA from 1 species